AUACGUAGGGAGCGAGCGUUGUCCGGAAUUACUGGGUGUAAAGGGUGCGUAGGCGGGACUGCAAGUCAGAUGUGAAAUGCCGGGGCUCAACCCCGGAGCUGCAUUUGAAACUGUGGUUCUUGAGUGAGGUAGAGGUAAGCGGAAUUCCUAGUGUAGCGGUGAAAUGCGUAGAUAUUAGGAGGAACAUCGGUGGCGAAGGCGGCUUACUGGGCCUUUACUGACGCUGAGGCACGAAAGCGUGGGGAGCAAACAGGAUUAGAUACCCUGGUAGUCCACGCUGUAAGCGAUGAUGACUAGGUGUGGGGGGACUGAACCCUUCCGUGCCGCAGUUAACACAAUAAGUCCUCCACCUGGGGAGUACGGCCGCAAGGUUGAAACUCAAAUGAAUUGACGGGG
rnacentral:rRNA from 1 species